CCGCACCAGCAGAACCCUAGCCCCUUUCCCCGAUCCCCACAGCAGCCGCACCCUCUCCUCGCUCGCAGCCUCCUCCUCUCCUCUCCCCCACGCCGCCGGCCUUGUCUCUCCCCCACGCCGCCGGCCUUGUCUCUUCGCUCGUCUCCUCCUCUCUUCCAUGCCUCCAUGGUUCCAGACUGGGAACUGGUCAUCGUCGUGCGAGAGCAGGGCAACGGGGUCUUCGCGGAGGAGUGGAGGGGGAGGAUGCGGACGACAGGGCGAAGGAGGUGGCUGGCGAGGAGGACAAGUAGCAGGGGGGAGGAGAAGGGUGACGCCUCGCACACCGUCUCCUCCCCGCGGCGGUUGGCCGGUCGACUCGUCGUGCCACCGCGUCCUCACCUCCUUUGCGCCAUGAGAGGCGCCGCCUCUGCUUCCACCCCCGCUUCCUGCUUCCUUCCUCCUUUGCACCACAGCUGCUGCUCUACUCCCUCCCUUGCCAGCCACCGGCUCACGAACCUCCCUCGUUUGGGCCAGGGCAGAAGGCCAUGGCGAAUCUUGCGCCUCUGGAAGAAGCAGCAGGGUUGGUGGAGCGUCGAAUACGGGCGGGGUCAACGGUUGAGGGAGGGUCGCCCACCGAAACAGCAGGAGAAAGACCUUGAGUGAAGCUGCAUCAUCCAACAUAGCGAGAUGAAGUACUCAGAAAAAAUUGCAGCAAGUGCGAUUGAUAGUCAAGGAAUUGAUUUGAUUCUGAAUCUUCCGUUCUUCAGAUUUGUCUGAAGUGGAACGGACGGUCGUCACCUUUGACUAAGCUGCUGAGCCCAAGAAAUGUGGCAGACUGGUGGCCUAGCUGUUCAACUUCUCAACACGGUUCAAUUUUGUCUUUGGUCAUCCUUGCAUACACUCGGCAGAGAAGUAUCUAUACUGAAUUUCUGCUCUAGGUAAUUUAUACUCAUAUAAUUUAUCUCUAAUACGCAGUCCAAAUCAUUAGUGCUAGAUCGACAAUUUUUAAGCCCUAUUUGUGGAAGUGCAUUGCAUGUGUAACUAAACUGGGCCUGCACUACUUGCUGCAUCUGUGUUGUAUGCGUUUAGCCAUGAUGUACUCGAGGAAGCUCGAGUUCCUCGACUUUUACAGGUACCAUCCGCCUCCCUCCCGAUAUUCAGAUCUCCGUAUUUGGUGAAUGCGGUGUUUUGGUUUUGUUUCUUGUAUGAUUUUGUGUGUAUGUGCUGGGAGUAUUGAUUCUAGGUGUUAUAUGAUAUGUAUAUUUCCGUGCGAACAUGUGUAGAGUGAGUCGUUGUUAUAUGCCUUGAACAUUAGAAAACCAGAUGAUCAGGAACAACAUAUAGGAAAGCUACUGGAAAGCUACUGUUGUUACCGUGUUGUGAGAUUAUGUAAAGCCUGAACAAGGAGAAUUUUGGGGGUUCCACUCCUCGAAUUUGGUCCAGAAUAAAUGGUUGUUUCCUAUUGCUUGUUCAAAAACUUGUCUGAAAUUAUCAGAGUGAUAUGAGUUCAGGUAUGGUUUGGACUGUCUGUGUGCUUUCUCAAACACAAAGCUAACGAAAAAAUGGGGAUUAUGUUUUUAGUUCGAGCGUGGAUACUCGGCAGUAGCGAUUUAGGUCUUUUUGUAGAACAGAAUGAUUAACUCGGUCUAUUUCUGGAAAACUGCACUGUAGAAGAUAUAUGUAUGAACGAUUGUAACACUGAAAAUGCAAAAUUUACAGUAUGUGGUAGUGAUGGUUGGUGGGGUGUGACUUUUUUGCUGGCAUUGUCCAGUGCAGUUUGAGGAUUUCUACUGAGUGGUGCCGCGUUCUGAGAUUUGUUUUUGUGUGUUGCUGUCUGCAGGAAAAUUCCUAGGGAUUUGAUUGACGGAGGCAUCAGUAUCUGGCAUUGUCCAAGAAGCUAUCGGUGGGGCUGGUGACUGUGGGAUGCUCGCUUGACCCCCUGUCCACAACAAAAACCGGAGGAACCUUCACUUUGUAUAGAUGGUGAUGGAUAUGGACAUAUAAGAACACCUCCCUUCCGAAAAUCAACUAGGGCAGAUAAGAAAACCCACCUGAGAAUCUAUUGUAUACCAUAUUUUUUAGCCUCUUAACAUGUCCAUGUACAUGUUGUAGUCUAUAUUUUGAUAUAGAAUAUGUUGUUACAUGCAACUGUUUGAGUUGGUGGGCCAUUGCUGCUGCCGGCUAAAAUUAUAAUAUUUGUAACUAAUAUUUUUGGUUGACAUAUUACUAGCGAAUUGGAUAUCAUAUCCCUAAACUAGGAAUUCUUUCAUUAUUGGAGGUUUUCAUCUGCAUAUACAAGGUAGCAGAAGAAGCAGGUGAGUGGCCUCUGUUUUGUUUCUUUAUGACAGUAUCCUCUACAUAAUGGUUGAAACGGUGUAUAGCCUGAAGCACGUGAUGUUUCUUUCAGUGUAUAUUUGUGAUUUAUGGCGUUUGAUGCGCAUAGGGCAGAACCUCACAUCACAUACAGUAUUAGAGAGGAAUGUUUUAACAGUUAGUGUUUCAAAGAUUUAUACUGUUUCAGCUAGCUAAUGAAUGUUUGUGGAGCUACAGAUUUGGUAUCAAAAGUACAUCAUUUGGGAAAUUGGGUUUUUAGUUAAUGUGUGUCAGGCAUCAAUAGUUUUGAAAUAUUACCAUGUUGCCGAAUAUAUCAUACAAUUAUAGGUGCAUUUAGUUCCCUAGAACAUUUGUUCUUGACUACCCAGUACCCAGUUGAGAUAUCACCAUUAGCGAAACCACAUUGGAGGUAAUUCUAUUAAGUCGGAAAAGCUAUAUGUUCCAGAAUUAUUGUUUAAUGAAGUACUCAUUUUGCUUUAUUCGUAUAAUAUGUCUUCCUGUUUUGUCAUCGACUUAAUAUUAUCCAUUGAAAGUUCUCCUUUUGUAAUGCGAGUGACCGACAGGACAAAUACCAUUAUGCAUCAAGUAUAGUCGAAGUAGAACUUUGUCCUGGUAUUAGUAGAUUACAUGCUAACGUGCAGAUAACAUGGUUCUGAAGUUGAAAAUCAUUGCCACAAUGUUACAGAUUAGAGUUUCCAAAAUAAUAUUAUACUCCCUCCGUCCGGAAAUACUUGUCGGAAAAAUGGAUGAAAAUGGAUGUAUCUACAACUAAAUUGCGUCUAGAUACAUCCAUUCCUCCGACAAGUAUUUUCGGACGGAGGGAGUAGUAAUCACAUCCAUUUCAUUGGAUGUGACGUGAUGUAUCCUAUAUGCGGAGCCAUGAAAGAAAUGUAACUAUGGAAGUUGUAGAUAACAGUAUACAGUUGUUCGAGUGCUCUCUGGCUAAACCUGAUGCCUUUUGUACAUCAAGGCUCUGAAUUUUUGAAGGAUCACAACUUACUUUCAAAGUAACAAUAAUAUUUGGAAAAUAUCAGAGGUGACAGAGAACAAUUUAAUAGGAUAGUGGCAAAUAAGGCCCAUUUCCUUAAGGUAUCAGCACAUAACACUUUUCACUAAUUUGGCCAGUUAGCAAUGCUCUGGUUUGUGCCAGUCAGGAAUUGAGAGCGUCAGUAGUCUCUGCAUAAAUAACCAUCAGACUCGAGGUCAACACUGAGAGAGGGACUGCAUACAGUUUUGUUCAAGCAUACCCCUUCAAGUUAUAAUUGCAAUACACUAUGCUGGAUACAAAUGACCUUUCGAUUUGAACCAUUCAUAUUGUGUAAUUUGAUGACCUGGGCAGGAUCCAGGUUUCGGUUGUUAGCAACUAUAAUGAUCAGACUCUUUUCUCUUUUUGUAGGUAUGCUGGUCUUGAUGUGGUUUUGGACUGAAUGUUUCUCACUUGGAGGAAUGCUUUUUGCUAAAAUCAAUAUAUUUUUCAGUCCCCAACGAUUUUAUUCCUCAGCGCCCAAUGGACUUCUAUCAAUAUUUUCUUCCAAACAAUGUAUUGAAUUGACUAUGAUUCAUUGGAGUUAUUUGACAGAGAGAAAUAUUCUCUGUAUACUGGAUACAGUUACUCAUGAUAGUCUGUUAUUGCCGUUAUCUUCUUGGGAGUACUUGAGAAGGCGUGGCUGGGAAUGUGGGGACAUGCCAUGGCAGAGGCGCAUGGUCGGCAGGAGGAGUCAGGGAGGCCUGAAGGUGGACAUGUGGAUGUUAUCGUGGCAUUGACACAUUUCGCUCCACCGAUGCUACAUACCAGGGAUUUGCUGGAAGCCACAGAGCGCACCCGAGAAAGAGGAGGAGAAUGCUCUGAAGAGAGGAAAUGAUAAGUUUUAUUGUUUUGUUUUAAGAGAAAGGGAUUUGAUAUGUAGUCCUCUGGCUUAUCUGUAUUCUACUAUGUGUAUGGCCAAAGAAAUCAUGAUUUCAUACACAUAUAUUUUUAAACAAAACCCUAUGUAUGUUUUGCUCAAACAGUGUCAUUGGAAAGCGCUCAUAUUUUCAAUGCGUACAUGAUUUUAAAUGGUUCUUUGUGAA